GUUAAAUCCAGUUGGUGGCCGGUCACAAGCGGUGUCCCCUAGGGCUCAGUACUGCGGCCACUUCUAUUUCACAUCUGUAUUAACGAUCUUGAUGUGGGGAUUGAGUGCACCCUCAGUAAGUUUGCAGAUGACGCCAAAUUGGGAGGGAGUGUUGAUCUGCCUGAGGAGAGAAAGGCACUACAGAGGGACCUGGAUAGACUGGAUUGAUGGGCCAAGGUUAACUGUCUGAGUUUCAAUAGAGCCAAGUGUUGGGUCCUGCAUUUUGGUCACAACAACCCCAGGCAACCCUACAGGCUUGGGGAGGAGUGGCUGGAAAGCUGCCUGAUGGAAAGGGACCUUGGUGAACUGAUGGACAGUUGGAUGAAUAUGAGCUAGCAGUGUGCCCAGGUGGCCAAGAGGACUAAUGGCAUCCUGGCUUGGAUCAGGAAUGGUGUGGUGAGUAGGACUAGGGAAGUAAUCCUGCCCCUGUACUUGGCACUGGUGAGGCCUUGCCUUGAGUACUCUGUUCAGUUGUGGGCACCUCUGUACAGAAAGGACACUGAGGUACUGGAGCAGGUCCAAAGAAGGGCAACAAGGCUUGUGAAGGGCUUGGAGAAUAUGAGGAGAGAUGGAAGAUUGAAGGAACUGGGGCUGUUUAGUCUGGGGAGAAGGAGGCUGAGGGGAGACCUUAUUACUCUCUCCCGGUAUCUGAAAGGUGCUUACAGCGAGAGUGGGGUUGGCCUCUUCUCACUGGUGACAGGUGACAAGACGAGGGGAAAUAGCCUCAAGUUGCACCAGGGUAAGUUUAGGUUGGAUGCCAGGAAACGCUUCUUUACAGAAAGGGUGGUUAAGCUCUGGAAUAGGCUUCCCAGGAAGGUGGUUGAGUCACCAUCCCUGGAUGUUUUUAAAAAACCGUUUGGAUGUGGUGCUCAGGGACAUGAUUUAGCAGAGGGUUGUUAGAGUUAGGGUAGUAUGGUUAGGUCAUGGUUGGGCUCGAUGAUCGUUAAGGUCUUUUCCAACCUGAGCAAUUCUAUGAUUCUAUGAUUCUGUGAUUCUAAGAGAUAACAUUGAAUAGAAGACCAAUGGCCAGAAAUUACAGGGAAUGGAUACAGUAGUGCCAUGAAUGGAAGAAGUUUUUGUUCGGAUGGACAUAUAUUGAAGACAGCUAUUUAUCUCAGAGACUUGUAGCUGGGCCUUCUACACUUAUAUACUGCCUUCUUUCACUGACAUCAGUUCAUGAAAGGGAAAUACUUAUCUACUACAAUUCUGUGUUUUAGAAAAUAUGUACAUAAGGUUUUUUUGUUGUUGUUGUUGGUUUUUUUUUAACUCCAAUGUGGGAGACAUGGAAAUGUCUUAAAUUUGCUUCAAGCAGAAAUACCAUCCUUCAUUCAGAUCUUUUUUUCUAAUGUCACUCCUUAAUUUUUUUUAGGAGUUAUAUUUCUAAAUUACCAUCAUCAUCAUUUUUCCACAGACAUCUGAACCAAGAAAGGUAGAAGGAUGUGGAAAGAAUACCACCUGGGAAACUUUAAGUGUUUGGAGACCACAAAUUUCCCAGAUGCAUACAAAACCUCAAGUUGUAUUCAUAAACUGUUGUAAGCAUGGCCUGAGGGUCAGGAAGAC
ensembl:lncRNA